GACAUAGGGAGCGAGCGUUGUCCGGAUUCAUUGGGCGUAAAGAGCGCGCAGGCGGUUUGGUAAGUCGGAUGUGAAAACCCGGGGCUCAACCCCGGGCGUGCAUCUCGAUACUGCCCGACUAGAGGUAGGUAGGGGAGAUCGGAAUUCCUGGUGUAGCGGUGAAAUGCGCAGAUAUCAGGAGGAACACCGGUGGCGAAGGCGGAUCUCUGGGCCUUACCUGACGCUCAGGCGCGAAAGCUAGGGGAGCGAACAGG
rnacentral:rRNA from 1 species